rnacentral:tRNA from 1 species
AUAACUGUAGUAUAAAUUAAUGCCUUUGAUUUCCAAUCAAAUGAUCUUCAUCUACCUGAAGUAGUUAUA